GCGGGUGUAGCUCAGCUGGUUUAGAGCGCGUCCCUGUCACGGACGAGGUCGCGGGUUCGAAUCCCGUCACUCGCGCAA
rnacentral:tRNA from 2 species